AUAAGUGAAGAAUAUUUAUAUCCCUGAUUGUUAUAGUUGGUGGUCCGGAUUCCAGUUUAUUUCUCUAAUUUGAUGUAGGAAAUGGAUUGUAAUUUGCACGUGAGGUGGGGCUUUUGAUUGGGCCUUGUGGUGGUUGGAUCCGCUAACAGAUAGGGAGAAGCAUGAUAGAUCGGGCAGAGAUCGCAGGUCGCGGCCAUGGGAGAGCAGGGGAGGCGUGGUUUACGUGAUGGAUAUGUAGUAGGGGAGGGUGAGGAGGACGGGCAUGUGGGAAGGCACAGCAAUGCCGGAGCUAAAGCGGGCGCUUGUGUCACGGUGGUGCUUGCUGGUCAUCGUCCCUAAUCUCCAAGUGCAGAUUGGACGAUGAAGAGACGAGGAAGGAUGUUAGGAAGAGUGAAGAACAAGGCGGACCUUCUCUGGUGGAAGAACAAGAUGAACCCUCUUUUGUGGGUCCUGUUUUUGGCAAAAUAUGUGGGGACUCGAAUGACAAUGAGCAGGUGCCAUUAAUUCCUACAAUGGCCUUUUUCUUCUUCUCAGAAGCCAGAUAAUGUUCAGUUGGAAGAGAUGGAUAUGAGGUGGCGGAAUGGCAAGGCGUCUGGUCAGAUGACCUGUGUCUGUGGUCAGUUGGUGGAUCUCGACUACAGGAACAUCACCGAUGCAAUCCAUAGUAGAUUGAUGAAUCCAUUCUGAUGAGCUUUGUAAAUAUUAGAUAAAAUUUGAUGUUGUCCCCUUGAGAUUAAACAGAUGCGUCACACUAUCAGACGAAAUGCGUGUUACAUCAAACAAAAUCCAUGAUCGAGCUACCUUGGACCCUACUGCUUCAAGCACUAUCUAAGAAAGGCAUAUGAUCCAGACUCAGAUUCAAGCUGCAUUGAGGGUUAUGCUUGAGACAUGGAUGAUGGCUACAACCACUAUGUGCGACCGUAGGCUGCGGCGGAGACAGGAUGCCUGGGGCAUGAGGCUGAUUCCC